rnacentral:tRNA from 1 species
GGGUACGAAGCGAAUUGGAAAGCAACCCGUCUUGAAAACGGGUGCCCGAAAGGGUUGUAGGUUCGAGUCCAUACCGUACCCGCCA